AUUGAACGCUAGCGGGAUGCUUUACACAUGCAAGUCGAACGAGUGGCGGACGGGUGAGUAAUAUAUCGGAACGUGCCCAGUAGCGGGGGAUCACUACUCGAAAGCGUGGCUAAUACCGCAUACUCUUCGAGCGACCGAUAUCGGAUUAGCUGGUUGGUGGGGUAAAGGCUCACCAAGGCAACGAUGCGUAGCGGGUUUGAGAGGAGGACCAGCAAAACGGGGACGGAGACAGGGCCCAGACCCCUACGGGAGGAGGCAGUGGGGAAUUUUGGACAAUGGGGGAAACCCUGAGCCAGACAUCCCGCGGGGAGGAGAAGGCCUCCGGGUUGUAAAGUCCGUUUGGCAGAGAGGCGGUAUCUGCAGAAUAAGCACCGGCUAACUACGUGCCAGCAGCCGCGGUAAUUC
rnacentral:rRNA from 1 species